UCUACUCUAGAACUUUCUCCAGUUGUCAGUAGGUCUACUCUAGAACUUUCUCCAGUUGUCGGUAGGUCUACUCUAGAACUUUCUCCAGGUGUCGGUAGGUCUACUCUAGAACUUUCUCCAGUUGUCGGUAGGUCUACUCUAUAACUUUCUCCAGCUGUCGGUAGGUCUACUCUAGAACUUUCUCCAGCUGUCGGUAGGUCUACUCUAGAACUUUCUCCAGCUGUCGGUAGGUCUGCUCUAGAACUUUCUCCAGCUGUCGGUAGGUCUGCUCUAGAACUUUCUCCAGCUGUCGGUAGGUCUGCUCUAGAACUUUCUCCAGCUGUCGGUAGGUCUACUCUAGAACUUUCUCCAGCUGUCGGUAGGUCUGCUCUAGAACUUUCUCCAGCUGUCGGUAGGUCUGCUCUAGAACUUUCUCCAGCUGUCGGUAGGUCUACUCUAGAACUUUCUCCAGCUGCUGGUAGGUCUACUCUCGAACUUUCUCCAGGGGACGUUCUCCUUUUCUGCUUCCAGUCUUUAAGUUUAGUCUCACUUAGAACAUUCCAGGUCCUUGAAGUCCAUAGAGGAGGAUCCAGAUUUAUCACUUUUUAAUGGACUUUUUCAGAACUUCAUCAGUCCAGCAGAUAGAAUAAUGACAUUUAGGAGGAGAAACAUCUGAGUUGGGGUAAAAACUGACAACAGAUCAGUUUUCCAUCCAUUCAGGUGUGUCAGUCUAAACAGUGAAUCUGGUUUCUGUUCAGAACCAUUUUUUUCUAUCAUUUUAUUCAACUGUUGAGUCAGAAACCGGACCAUUCUCAAGCAAUUGAAGACAGUUUUCAUAUUUUUCCUGUAAUUUUGGAUCAUUUUUGAGUCCUUUUGCACAAAUUUUGAGUCAUUUUCUAUCAUUUUUGAAGCAUCGUGGACUAAUUUUGUGUCGUUCGGCAAAUCUUCAGUCAGUUUGAUAAUUUUUGAGUCAUUUUGGGUGAAUUCUGACUCAUUUUGGACAAUUUUCUGGUCAUUUCCAAUAAGUUCUGUCAACUUGGAUCUUUUUUUCAGCAUUUUGGAUCAUUUUUGUGUCUUUGGGACAAUUUUCAAGUCAUUUUAGACAAAAUUUUAGGUCUUUUUGUACAUUUUUGGAAUAAUUUGGGGUCAUUUAGGAAGGUUUUUGUAAUUUUUUUGGAGAAAUUCUAAUAUUUUUUGGGACAAUUUUGUGUACUUUUGGACAUCUUUUGUCAUUUUGAACAGUUUUUGAGUCAUUUUUGAUAAAUACUGAAACAAUUGGAGCAAUUUUUGUGUAAUUUUAGCCAAGUUUCACGUAAUUUGAACAAAGGCAUGAAUAAUUUUGAUCUUAUCUUGUGUCUGAUUGCGUUAUUUCUUG